rnacentral:tRNA from 1 species
AUUUAAAUAGCUCAAUUAAGAGCAUAAUAUUGAAGAUAUUAAGAUAGCAUGAAUAUGCUUUUAAGUA